GAGCAGUUAGCUCAGUUGGUUAGAGCAUGGUGCUAAUAACGCCAAGGUCGCGGGUUCGAUCCCCAUACGGGCCA
rnacentral:tRNA from 1 species